rnacentral:rRNA from 1 species
UACGAAGGGGGCUAGCGUUGUUCGGAAUUACUGGGCGUAAAGCGUAUGUAGGCGGAUCGUUAAGUCGGGGGUGAAAUCCCGAGGCUCAACCUCGGAACUGCCUUCGAUACUGGCGAUCUUCGAGUCCGGGAGAGGUGAGUGGAACUCCGAGUGUAGAGGUGAAAUUCGUAGAUAUUCGGAAGAACACCAGUGGCGAAGGCGGCUCACUGCCCGGUACUGACGCUGAAAUACGAAAAGCGUGGGGAGCAAACAGG